UUGAUCUAAACCCGGGAAGACCAGACUAGCCUGUGAACUGUCGUUACUCAUGGAACUAGGUUAACUCCACAAUGUCAACAGGGAGAAAGAGGAGAGCCGAUAUAUGGACACAUUUCUCAUUUGAUGUCGUGAAAAACAAGACGAUGUGUAAACCAUGUGGGGCGAUCUAGGGUAAAAACACAACAAACCUGAAACAUCUGGCACUGCUGGCAGUAUAAUGGCAACAUAAUAUCACAGCUGCUUUUACGAAAGAAUGGGGCAAAAUAACACCUGGAACACUUCAUUGAUUGGUGUCCUCAGUGCUAAAACUCUUUUAAGUGUUGUGAAAUGGAAUGGCAACAAGUGCCAUGAGGCAGGUGGGCAGACAGGGCCUUGGGACAACCCUGGGGGUAAAAGCACAGUUUCCUAAACUUGACAACCUAAACUUGAGGUUCACUGCAAUCAUCUUUCAGUGCAGAAAUCCAGCUUUUUUCCUCCAAGUAAACAAUACAUCAGGCGGUGCAUAAAUGAGUGACACAUUCAUGAAGUGGGGGAGGGCUGUCGGCUGGGCACUCAGAGGCCAUCUGCCCAGCCACGCUGGUCUGUCAUAACAGCACUGAUGGGGUUGAAGAAAGAGAGAAAAUAGAGGGAAAUUUUCUAUUUACACUCUUACACACACACACACACACAUACAAUUUUCUUGUUUUACCUCCAUGUCAACACCUUGAAUGCUUUGUUCCUCUAACCAUUCCUUAACAUUUUUGGCAGGGUGCAUUGUAUUUCUG